CCUGUUGAUUUCACUUAUUAGCGCGGUUUAUGCCAUUGAUAGUUUGCCAAAUAUACAUAUUAAAUGUAACGUCUCAUUCAGACCAAUAUUCCGCCGGUGUUCUCAACUUGGUAACCCUCUUGGAGCAAGUGAAAACCUUGUCGAAUAAAAUUAGGAGACUUUUUCUUUCAUUUUCCCCACAAUCGUUGAUCUUUGAGACACUUUAUGUACUAAGUUUUUCCUAGGAUAUUUGUGUUUGUACUUAUAUUUGUGGUUUUUGGAAUGUUUUAUAGUAACCAUCUUUUCGUACGUGAUAACAAUGUUUUUUAGUAUUUAAGUUACGGUCUUUUCUUCGUUGCCCUUAUUAAACUGCGUAAAGCCAUUGUUUUAUGGAUGGAUAUAAGUAUUAACUUAUUAAUAUAAGUAAGUAAAAUAUAUAUGUUAUAUAUUUUACUUACCUAUCUUCGAGCUUUUGAGACAUUUUAUUAGCCAUAUGAAAAAAAAAAUUAUACUGGUGGGUUUUUUGAACACCUGGGACGUUGUAAUUGUCGUUUCUAAGGUUUUUACAGUGCGAACUUCGAGCAAGUGAAACCAUGGUUUUGUGAAUAUCAGUUGUAAACAAUUUGUUUUUCUUCACCACCUUCUAGCCUUUGAGACGCUUUGUUCGAAAAGCUUUUAAAUUGGGAUGUUUUUUCAAAAGUGGGACUUGGUAAUUGUCAUUUCUAAAGUUUUUAUGGUUGCCAUCUUCGAGUACUAGAAACCAUGGUUUUGUGGAUAUCAGUCGUAAACUUUUUUUAACCUAUUUUCGGGCUUUUGAGACAUUUUAUUAGCCAUUUAAAAAAAUUAUACUGUGGGUUUUUGAACACCUGGGACGUUGUAAUUGUCGUUUCUAAAUUUUUUUCAGUUGCCGUUCGAGCACGUGCAUCCAUGGUUUUGUGGUUGUAUGUGCUGAUAUCCGUGAGAACUGUUCGAGGAUAAGAUAAGUAUUAUAUAUAUGUUCGUACUGGAUGUUCGACUGUGUAACAGAGGAGAUUCACGCGAAAGUAGUGUGGUACUGUGUCCCACGUCGAACGGAUUUCCUGGGCUUGAAUAAAAUCUGAGACUUAUUCGAAUUCAGGACCCGUGCUCACGAUAAAUGCGUCCGGAGAGCCUCGCGUUUCUCCAUGACGUUACGGCUCUCUUUCUUGACGUAGAUUAUCUUUCCAUGUAAAGAGGACCCUUUCGGAACCCGGAAUAUUGACCGAGUUGGGAUGUUGAAUUUGUACGGCUUGAGCGAAAUUUGAGCCGGAGACAGGAGUUGGCACAACUUACCAAGUUUGACAAUUGUAUCUUCAGUUUGGUUGCGGAAACAGAUGUUUAUCAACAUGCAGAACGUACAAAGAGAUACAUUUUAACUAUAUUCAUAAUUUGUAUAUAGACAAUAAACCUAAAACAACGCUUGGGUUGUCCGUUUGAAAUUGAA